GAUGAAGAACGCAGUGAAAUGCGAUAAGUAAUGCGAAUUGCAGAAUUUCCGUGAGUCAUCGAAUCUUUGAACGCACAUUGCGCCCACUGGUAUUCCGGUGGGCAUGCCUGUUCGAGCCUCAUUAUCCUCCCUCAAACCCCGGGUUUGGUGUUGGACCGAAGUUGUGUGAACAACUGGUCUAAAAGACAAUGACGGCGUCCGUGGGACCCUCGGUGCAACGAGCUUUUAGGAGCACGCGCCGAGUUGCAAGGACCUUCCGGGCCGGUCUCCUUUUACUAUUUUACAAGGUUGACCUCGGAUCAGGUAGGAAUACCCGCUGAACUUAAGCAUAUCAAUAAGCGGAGGA
rnacentral:misc_RNA from 1 species